rnacentral:ncRNA from 1 species
UUCUUAUCAAGAGAAGCCGAGGGUACUGGCCCGCAGACGCUUCAGCAACCAGCCGGACGGUCAGGUGCUAAAUCCAGCAGACGUUAAGUCUGGAAGAUGAGAA